CAGCAGCCGCGGUAAUACAGAGGGUGCAAGCGUUAAUCGGAAUUACUGGGCGUAAAGCGCGCGUAGGUGGUUCGCCAAGUUGGAUGUGAAAUCCCCGGGCUCAACCUGGGAACUGCAUCCAAAACUGGCGAGCUAGAGUAUGGUAGAGGGUGGUGGAAUUUCCUGUGUAGCGGUGAAAUGCGUAGAUAUAGGAAGGAACAUCAGUGGCGAAGGCGACCACCUGGACUGAUACUGACACUGAGGUGCGAAAGCGUGGGGAGCAAACAGGAUUAGAUACCCGGGUAGUCCCUGUCUCUUAUAC
rnacentral:rRNA from 1 species